rfam:Arthrobacter aurescens TC1, complete genome.
UGCCUAGCUCUGCCGCAGUCCGGAAUCCGUUCGCAGACAAACCUACGGCAGAGACGGGGAACCCAAUUUAGGCCGCUUUCGAGCGUGCCUUGGGGUGAAGUCACGAAACUUCCGCUGAACAGCGGGGGAUAGUGGCCGGGUGACUCCCAUCCGAAUCCGACAGCUAACCUCGCAGGCAUCGGGAGAGGCUCU